GACGGAGGGUGCUAGCGUUGUUCGGAAUUACUGGGCGUAAAGCGCGCGUAGGCGGGUUGCUAAGUCCGCUGUGAAAGCCCGAGGCUCAACCUCGGAGGGUCGGUGGAUACUGGCAGCCUUGAAGGUGGUAGGGGGAGAUGGAAUUACCGGUGUAGCGGUGAAAUGCGUAGAGAUCGGUAGGAACACCAGUGGCGAAGGCGGUCUCCUGGCCCACUCUUGACGCUGAGGCGCGAAAGCUGGGGGAGCGAACGGG
rnacentral:rRNA from 1 species